rnacentral:rRNA from 1 species
AUGGCGCAGAGAUCGGGUUCGGCUGCGGAGGGAAGCAAGGGUGGCAACCUUGAUAAGCUGAUGCAGGAGCUCGCCCUGAGGGAGGAUGACCUUGAUGAUGUCGUCUUUGAGGAAGACGACGCACCACCGGAAGAGAACCUCCGGUGGAUGAUCUUGGCCCAUGUCCAUAUGGACAAGUCUUUCAACACAUAUUGGUUCUUUCGUAACAUGAAGUCAGCCUGGGAUCUAGCAAGGGGAGUCAAGAUCAAAACCCUAGAAGACAAUCUGUUUAUCAUGCAAUUCAAUUGUCUAGGGGACUGGGAG